CUAUCUUUCAAGGUUAUAAUGGUUCUUGGUAUGUGGAUGCAGCAGCGGACCGAAUUUCCAAAUUGGCAGAGCCAAUUUUGCUGCACAUCUUGUCUUUCUUUCUUGCCAAAGGUGCCGCUCAAUGUAUGCUCAUAUUACUUGUGUAAAUACUCCGUACAUCUGAUGUGAAAUUGAAAAUAGCCGGAGUAUGCAAGGGAACUCUGUUUUUUCACAUAAAGUUUGGUCCUUUCCCCCUUUUUCUCUUCCUUCAACGGUUAAACCUACACAUACUCUCAUCUGCCCAUUAAAGCUACAAAAUUCAACCCGUGGGACAAAAGGUUUCCUUUUUCCACGUUGCCUACUCUUCUCAUUAUGCCCCCACGAAAAGUUUGCUUCUUUUUAAGCUGUGCAAGAUUGCUCAACAACACACAGAAAUUUUUUCAUUAAAAUGAAUUUUGACGAGAACAAGUCCUUGUGCAAAAGCUUAAAUGUAAGAGUGCUUCCAUAUUUCCACUUCUACGGAGGAGCUGAUGGCUUGUUGGAUUCCUUUUCUUGUUCUCUUGCAAAGGUAGGACAUGAACACCAUAUAUGUGAUAUUUCAUUUAUCAUUACCAUUAUAACCUACUACAAUGUAAUCCUCUCGACUAUCCAUUCUUCCUCUCUCUGUGGACACUAGGUCCAAGGGAAAAGAAAGAAAUGAAUAAAGGGAUAGAGAGGGGUGGUCGGAAAGAAGUAGGCUGACCGAAUAGAAAAGCAUAUAAUAGGAUGGUGCAAUCGUUGUAAUUUUAUUUUCAUUUUGUAUGCUAUCUUUUUCCACUAACUGUGUUGUUCCCAUGACAAGAACACGCAAAAAGCAAAUUAAUGUACUCUUUUGGUUGGGUUGUGAAGACGUGUUCAAAAAUAUUAUGAAGCUAUUGACAA